rnacentral:rRNA from 1 species
GACAGAGGUCCCGAGCGUUAGGCGGAAUCACUGGGCUUAAAGCGUGUGUAGGCGGAUUUGUAAGUACCUUGUGAAAUCCCACGGCUCAACCGUGGAACUGCUUGGUAUACUGCUUAUCUUGAGCCACCUAGGGGCAACCGGAACAAACGGUGGAGCGGUGAAAUGCGUAGAUAUCGUUUGGAACGCCAAUGGUGAAACGGGUUUGCUGGGUUUGUGCCGACGCUGAGACACGAAAGCCAGGGAGCAAACGGG